UACGUGGGGGGCAAGCGUUGUCCGGAAUCAUUGGGCGUAAAGAGCGCGUAGGCGGUCCGGUAAGUCCGCUCUGAAAGUCCGGGGCUCAACCCCGGGAGGCGGGCGGAUACUGUCGGGCUAGAGUCCGGAAGAGGCGAGUGGAAUUCCUGGUGUAGCGGUGAAAUGCGCAGAUAUCAGGAGGAACACCAAUGGCGAAGGCAGCUCGCUGGGACGGUACUGACGCUGAGGCGCGAAAGCGUGGGGAGCAAACAGG
rnacentral:rRNA from 1 species